AGGAUAAUAGUUUAAAAAAAACAUUUUAAUUGCAUUAAAAAUUUAUUGGAAUUCAAUUUAUCUUA
rnacentral:tRNA from 1 species